rnacentral:rRNA from 1 species
UGGCGGACGGGUGAGUAAUGUCUGGGAAACUGCCUGAUGGAGGGGGAUAACUACUGGAAACGGUAGCUAAUACCGCAUAACGUCGCAAGACCAAAGAGGGGGACCUUCGGCCUCUUGCCAUCGGAUGUGCCCAGAUGGGAUUAGCUAGUAGGUGGGGUAACGGCUCACCUAGGCGACGAUCCCUAGCUGGUCUGAGAGGAUGACCAGCCACACUGGAACUGAGACACGGUCCAG